rnacentral:lncRNA from 1 species
UCCUCUACUGUUAGUUUUUAAGUUUGUUCCCCCGUUCUUGUGUUGGGUAUCCAGAAUUUGUUGUGUGGUUAUUGUUUUUGAACAGGGUACUUCAGAAUCUCUCGCUGGCUCCCCUCUGGCAGUGGACUCUCCUUUGUCCCUCAGGCAGAGGGCACUGCUUCCGAGGAACAGGUUAGAGGGGAUCGGAGGAGCCGUCUCACAGGGUAAGACCCAGUCAGCCCAUUUCUUCUCGAUCUCCCUUCUUUGCAUCUUUCCAAAGGCAGUGAAUGGCCUUUUAGGCCUCCUGCAUGCAAUUCAUGAAAGAUUGGUUGAUCAAACUAGGAAGAUUUCCUUUUGAGUAAGUUGGGGAUAAAAUUCAUGUGAAGAAUAAGAGAUAUUUCCUUGCAGGCAUUGAAAAUAUGCAGGGAACCUCUCCUUCAUCUCACCUUUGCAGAGGAAUGGAAGCUGUGCCUGUGCAGCCAGAACAGGGUCCUGUAACCUUUGACGAAGUUGCCGUGAAUUUCACAGAGGCGGAGUGGGCAUUGCUGGAUCAGAACCAAAGGGCCUGCCACAGGGACGUCAUGGAUGAGACGCGUGAAAAUGUGUUGUCUUUGGGUGAGAUUUGCUUUCCUCCCCCUUCAGUCGACAGACCCACAGUGCAAAUGGUAUGAAAGAAUAUGUAGCCUAUCACUGCUGUGAACGUUCACAAGAUGAGAGAGAGGAAAACCAUUCCAGUUUUUCUUUCUGCAGCACAACGGGUGUCGUUUAGACACUUGAAUGCUCAGUCCCACUGCAAAUCCACAAUAAAACAACUGAAAAACAGCUAGUCA